AACGAACGCUGGCGGCAUGCCUAAUACAUGCAAGUCGAACGAUCUCUUCGGAGAUAGUGGCGCACGGGUGCGUAACGCGUGGGAAUCUGCCCUUGGGUUCGGAAUAACGUCGGGAAACUGACGCUAAUACCGGAUGAUGACGUAAGUCCAAAGAUUUAUCGCCCAGGGAUGAGCCCGCGUAGGAUUAGCUAGUUGGUGGGGUAAAGGCCUACCAAGGCGACGAUCCUUAGCUGGUCUGAGAGGAUGAUCAGCCACACUGGGACUGAGACACGGCCCAGACACCUACGGGAGGCAGCAGUAGGGAAUAUUGGACCAUGGGGGCAACCCUGAUCCAGCAAUGCCGCGUGAGUGAUGAAGGCCUUAGGGUUGUAAAGCUCUUUUACCCGAGAUGAUAAUGACAGUAUCGGGGGAAUAAGCUCCGGCUAACUCCGUGCCAGCAGCCGCGGUAAGAC
rnacentral:rRNA from 1 species